CGAGUCUGCCUUGAAGAUCGGAGUGCUUGCACUCUGUGAAACAAGAUACAGGCUAGCGGCGGACGGGAGAGUAACACGUGGGUAACCUGCCCAAGAGAUCGGGAUAACACCUGGAAACAGAUGCUAAUACCGGAUAACAACAGAUGAUGCCUAUCAACUGUUUAAAAGAUGGUUCUGCUAUCACUCUUGGAUGGACCUGCGGUGCAUUAGCUAGUUGGUAGGGUAACGGCCUACCAAGGCGAUGAUGCAUAGCCGAGUUGAGAGACUGAUCGGCCACAUUGGGACUGAGACACGGCCCAAACUCCUACGGGAGGCAGCAGUAGGGAAUCUUCCACAAUGGACGCAAGUCUGAUGGAGCAACGCCGCGUGAGUGAAGAAGGGUUUCGGCUCGUAAAGCUCUGUUGUUGGUGAA
rnacentral:rRNA from 1 species